UUUGGCAUCAGCCUGCAAACAGCUGAGAAGCACAAGAAGUGCUGCUGCCUGCUCUUCAGACGUCUGAACUCACCCAGCUUAAAUAUCGAUCACCCCAAAUGCUGGGCUCCAGCAAGCCAUUGUGGAAUUCCCAGGAUUUUCCAACUCAGAAAAAAUCUGAAGAAAGGCAAAAGAGGACAAAUCUGAAAGAACCAAGAAGGAUUAAAGGAUCACUUCCCCGUGACUGUGAAAUGUCCAGAUUCUCCAGGCAUGGUUGUUACCCAGCUUUCCAGUCUGAAAACCCUGCCCCUUCUGGACUUCCUUUUAGAAGCUUAGGUUUUGGAUUGACCACGUUGUCCAUUGUCCCUUGGGAACUUUCAAUAGUCUGCAUCCAGCCUGCACUGGUUCUGGGAUUUUGCUUUCUGCAACAUGCAGAAGCAGUCUGUCGGAGAAGGAAGCUACUUAGCCUAGGCUUGUCAGCAAGGAUCUUUUGACCUUCCUGCUAUGUGGGCCAGGUGCCCAAAUGUCACUGCAUCUUUGUUCUCACACCUGAUUAUCAACUCAUCCAAGGUUCCUUGCGAAGAUACCAGCAUGCCUUUGUUGACUGCAGUGCUUACACUGCACAGAUGUUUAAGACACUGCAUCCAGCAGCGCAUUACACCCCAUCAUAAACUAUCUUGAGCCAGAUAUGAAAUACAAACAGUGAUCAUUAGCACAUGCCUCCAAGUUCCUCAGGUUUUUUUAUUCUAUCACAGGUCUCUCAUCUAUGUAAUCUGAUUUGAUUUAAAAGAAAUUGUCCUGUAAAUUAACCGGAGAACAACUGAUAGGGUAAACUAGCAUAUGGUCUCAGAACCACUAUUUCCACACAAGGAGAAUAGCCUCAUCCUCAUUCUUCCCUAGAUACAAAGCUAGUGAUUUGGUGACAUAUGACAUCCAGUUUCUUAAAGUUUAUCACUCUUUCUUGAUACUUGUUGCUGAAAACCUCUCUUAAGUACUAGCACAAUACCUAUCAGUGUAUUCAUAGCUUCAUAUAGCUUCAUCCCCGCUUCUUUCUGUAUGCAAACUCUACCACUUGCAUCUUUUGCACAAUGCUUAAAAGCAUCUUCUAGAAAAGGUUUGGGGGCAAUUAUAUGCUGACCAGAUCAGUCACCCAAAUACAAGUGACACUCAAAUUUCUUGCUAUUGGCACCGGUCCCUCCAAUGCACCCAGGCCUCUUUAUGUUUGCUUACUGGAUCAUGCUAUCAAUGAAAACUAAACACCUGAUAGCAAGCUGAUAGAACUGUUACUGAAAUGAGUCUGUAACAUGCAAGGUCAAGUAGUGGCAUCCCUCUCCAUGGCUGCACUGAAAUAUUCCACAGUACUGAGAGUUUGGAGGUAGAGCUAACCUAGCCCAGUGUAAUAACGUGUUAAGAGCUGAUGUGCAAAUAUUUAUGGUGUCUAUGUAGAACUGUUACUAAGGUGGAAAGACACGUAUAAACAAUUAUCUAUCCACU
rnacentral:lncRNA from 1 species